GCCUGGGUGGCUCAGUCGUUUGGGCAUCCGACUUUGGCUCAGGUCAUGAUCUUGCAGUUUGUGGGUUUGAGUCCCGCCUCAGGGU
rnacentral:tRNA from 1 species